rnacentral:rRNA from 1 species
AGUGAACGCUGGCGGUAGGCCUAACACAUGCAAGUCGAACGGCAGCACAGUAAGGGCUUGCUCUUACGGGUGGCGAGUGGCGGACGGGUGAGGAAUACAUCGGAAUCUACUUUUUCGUGGGGGAUAACGUAGGGAAACUUACGCUAAUACCGCAUACGACCUACGGGUGAAAGCAGGGGAUCUUCGGACCUUGCGCGACUGAAUGAGCCGAUGUCGGAUUAGCUAGUUGGCGGGGUAAAGGCCCACCAAGGCGACGAUCCGUAGCUGGUCUGAGAGGAUGGUCAGCCACACUGGAACUGAGACACGGUCCAGACUCCUACGGGAGGCAGCAGUGGGGAAUAUUGGACAAUGGGCGCAAGCCUGAUCCAGCCAUACCGCGUGGGUGAAGAAGGCCUUCGGGUUGUAAAGCCCUUUUGUUGGGAAAGAAAAGCAGCAGGUUAAUACCCCGCUGUUCUGACGGUACCCAAAGAAUAAGCACCGGCUAACUUCGUG